GAAAGACUUUCACUGGAGAGUUAGACUUUGAACCCUGACAGCAGCUGACUUCACCUCAGUAAGGCUAUGCAACUCUGUUGUGUAACACUGAACUGACAAUCUGUACUCACAAAAAAAUUUCUAUAUAUAUUUUUUUCUGAACUGUGGAUUACUAUGCUGUUUGGAUGAAGAAAAUUUAUGGACUUUGCUUACCUUAAAAUGUGAAUGUCCUGCAAAGCAGGAAACCUCAUGUGAGAGUCUGCGCACGACUAAGGGAUUCACUUACCCCGUGCCCUUGAACAUCCCACCCGGAGAUUGCGAAUAUGCGUGGUAUCUGAUGAAUGGAACAUGUGUUGCUCAUUCAGAUGGAAAAAUGUUAGGACCUGUAGUGGCUAUGACCUUCCAGAAUCAGACUGUAAGUGCCUGUGAGGACCUGCAGUGGCAACUUCACUGUGACAACAUUCAGUUUCAUUGUACUAUCAGUUACACAGUUACAGACCUUGAGAGAAAACAAGAUGGCAACCAUAAUGGCUAUAUUUCAGCUGGUUUACCUGGCUGGGGUACUGCUUUAAUUGGGAUUGGCAUUGGGAUUGGAAUUCUUGGUGCAUUGAUUGCUAUUUGGUUUCAUCAUCGAAACAGGGGUCUCCAACCUUGCUCCCAGAGAGCGACUGUCCUGCAGGCUUCAGAUCCAACCCUGUUCCAACAUUUUCUCAACCCAUAA
ensembl:lncRNA